rnacentral:rRNA from 1 species
CUACGGGAGGCAGCAGUGGGGAAUAUUGCACAAUGGAGGAAACUCUGAUGCAGCAACGCCGCGUGGAGGAUGACACUUUUCGGAGCGUAAACUCCUUUUAUAUAGGAAGAAGAUGACGGUACUAUAUGAAUAAGCGCCGGCUAACUCCGUGCCAGCAGCCGCGGUAAUACGGAGGGCGCAAGCGUUACUCGGAAUCACUGGGCGUAAAGAGCGUGUAGGCGGAUUAAAAAGUCAGAAGUGAAAUCCUAUAGCGUAACUACAGAACUGCUUCUGAAACUCUUAAUCUAGAAUAUGGGAGAGGUAGAUGGAAUUUCUGGUGUAGGGGUAAAAUCCGUAGAGAUCAGAAGGAAUACCGAUUGCGAAGGCGAUCUACUAGAACAUUAUUGACGCUGAGACGCGAAAGCGUGGGGAGCAAACAGGAUUAGAUACCCGAGUAGUC